AGUCGAACGGUAGAGGGGGCAACCCCUUGAGAGUGGCGAACGGGUGAGUAAUGCAUCGGAACGUGCCCAGUUGUGGGGGAUAACACUUCGAAAGAAGUGCUAAUACCGCAUACGACCUAAGGGUGAAAGGGGGGGAUCGCAAGACCUCUCGCAAUUGGAGCGGCCGAUGUCAGAUUAGUAGUUGGUGGGGUAAAGGCCUACCAAGCCGACGAUCUGUAGCUGGUCUGAGAGGACGACCAGCCACACUGGGACUGAACACGGCCCAGACUCCUACGGGAGGCAGCAGUGGGGAAUUUUGGACAAUGGACGCAAGUCUGAUCCAGCCAUGCCGCGUGCAGGAAGAAGGCCUUCGGGUUGUAAACUGCUUUUGUCAGGGAAGAAAUCCCUUGGGUUAAUACCUCGGGGGGAUGACGGUACCUGAAGAAUAAGCACCGGCUAACUACGUGCCAGCAGCCGCGGUAAUACGUAGGGUGCAAGCGUUAAUCGGAAUUACUGGGCGUAAAGCGUGCGCAGGCGGUUUUGUAAGACAGAGGUGAAAUCCCCGGGCUCAACCUGGGAACUGCCUUUGUGACUGCAAAGCUUGAGUGCGGCAGAGGGGGAUGGAAUUCCGCGUGUAGCAAUGAAAUGCGUAGAUAUGCGGAGGAACACCGAUGGCGAAGGCAAUCCCCUGGGCCUGCACUGACCUCAUGCACGAAAGCGUGCGGAGCAAACAGGAUUAGAUACCCUGG
rnacentral:rRNA from 1 species